AUUUUAGUUUGCUCUUAUUUGCCUCAUUGGAGUUGUUGGAAAUCCAUUUAUUUCCUUCAGGUCCUGGGGAGCCUGAGGAACAAAGGUAUUAAGGGUAUGACUGAAUGUUACGUGUUUCAUUUCUCAUUUCUUUGUUUGGCCCAGAGAAACUGAAAGACUAAAUAUAAAUAUCCCCAAUUUACAUGUUCUUUGGUUCCUAAAGAUACAAUAAUGACUCUUCCUUAUGAAUCAUGAUUUGGAUUAUUAAUAGAGUACUGAUACCUCCCUCCAAAGCAACAAAAAAAAGUCACUCAGAGAUGACAUGGUCUUCCAGAAAUAAUUUUAAAGAUUUAAAUAAAAUUAGUUCUAAGAUUGCGUAAAUAUCUAAGUGUUGGAGUAAAUGAAAAACAGAUAACACAUCAAUGAUACUUUCAGUCUUAAUUUUCAGGGAAAAAAUCCAAUAUUAGGAAAAUGUGGAACUCAGUGCCUAUCACCUAAGCUCAACUUACUUUUUGAAAAGUUUAUAACAUUUUCUCAAAUUGACUAAAAGGUAAUAUUAGGACCACAAGAUGAGGACAAAUAUCCAGAAAAUAUGGCGUGAAAAAUAUUAUAAAUUUUCUUUCUUCUUACUUUGACCCAAGAUCUAAAGCACCAGCCAUAAACCAUUUGAAAGACCUUUGGUUCUUAAAGCUGUUACUUCACAGCCAUAUAACCAAGUGUUGGUUCUGUGCACUUGGUUUGUUGAUUUAAGUCACCCAUAUAGAAUACUGAGUAGAAACAUACCAGUCUAUGAUAGACUAAGUUGAUUGUUUUUGCUGGCAGAUGUGAGAGAGCAUCAUUGCUCAUUAUAUGGUUGGCUUAAUUGGUUUUUCUCCUGGAAUACGUGGAUGGCGUUCUUUUAAUCUGUUACACAGAGUACUUAAAAUCAAAGCCUCUGAAUUAUUGUUUAAUUGUUAGUAUAUUUUAGAUCAUGGUUACAUUCUGGGAUUGGUUUAUGCUAAAACACUUGUUUGUCCUUUACACAGGGAUUAACAUGGGGCCGAAAAAGGUCAUUUCUGUUGUUUUCAAGCAUUAGCCACUUGUUAUUAGUAAAAUGUUGAAGUGAGAGUUCACUGAUUUUAAAAACCAAAUACUGUAAUAGGACACAGAAUUUAAUAAGAAUAUUAUCUCUUUGGAGCAUGAUUUUUGUUGUCAUGUUAUAUACAGUAGAAAGGUCAAAUGAUGGAUGUGACUAUUACAAAUAGCAGUGAUUUAUGAUGG
rnacentral:lncRNA from 1 species